rnacentral:rRNA from 1 species
UACGUAGGGGGCAAGCGUUGUCCGGAUUUAUUGGGCGUAAAGAGCGUGUAGGCGGCCAUGUAGGUCCGUUGUGAAAACUCGAGGCUCAACCUCGAGACGCCGAUGGAAACCAUCUGACUAGAGUCCGGAAGAGGAGAGUGGAAUUCCUGGUGUAGCGGUGAAAUGCGCAGAUAUCAGGAAGAACACCCGUGGCUAAGGCGGCUCUCUAGUACGUGACUGACGCUGAGACGCGAAAGCGUGGGGAGCGAACAGG